ACGAAAUUUUCGAUUCUUUUUAUUUGUUCUUUGGAUUCUCCGAUAUUCAAUUAGUAUAAAGUUUUUAUUCUUUUUUCGAAAAAUGGUUUAUUGAUCUUUUAAUCAAUGCGCAAAGAUUGUCUUUUUAUUAAGAACCUUUUGCUGUGACGUCAUAAUUGGUGAUGUUAGUUUCCAGAGCGAGAGAGAGAGAGAUACAGAGAAAGAAAAGCUUAAUACUCAGAUCACAUAUAUGAACACAGACACAGCGAAGAAGAAUUAGAGUAUAAUAUUAUUGAAGAAGAAAACAAUUUUGGAGAAGAUGAGGACGGUGAUAAUGAGAUGGAAACCUUUGAUGAGCUUUUUACAGGCACAAGGCUGCAACUUUUUUUAAUUCGAGACCACUAAAUAAGAUGAUAAUAAGAACAUUGUAACUGAGAGAGAAACGAUAUUUUUAGUAAAACAUUGGAAAGUUUUCGUGUUGGGAGAAACGAAUGGUGCAAGUGCGAUAACUGCAAGACUGAAACUAGGGAGAUUGAUUGUCUUUGUUGCACGGAAGUGGGUGCAUUAACAGACAAACAAUUCCAAGGAAUAAAAUAUAUAACUGAGAAUGAGGAUUUCAAGCAACUUUGUGUCGUUUUAAUAUGCUUACACGAGGCAAGAGGGAGAUUUCUGCAAGACACGCCUACAAACAAAUCUUUUCGGUUUGCUGGUUACAAGCAAUUCAUUUGGUUCGUUUUCUAACGACUUGGAAAAGGCAAUCGCCGAGUUAUACCGUCGCGUGUUGUGUGGAAAAUAUGACAAGCUUUCCCUGAAGAGGGUGGUGUCUAUGUCCCUUACUCGAAAGAAUAAACACAAAAA